AUCAAACAGCACUGUGUACUAUAGAGAAAUCAUUCAUGAAAGGAAGAGUCAUUUGAUAUGGCAAACUUCAUUUUUGUUUUAUUUUAAGAAAUUGUCACAGCUUCCUCAAUCUUCAAGCAACCACCACCUUGAUCAGUCAGCAGCCAUCAACAUCGAGGCAAAACCUUCCACCAGCAAAAAGAUUACAACUUGCUGAAGGCUCAGAUGAUGGUUGGCAUUUUUUAGCAAUAAAGUACUUUUUAAUUAAGGACCUUGCCCAGCAUGUUCCAGAGGCAGAGCUGGAGAGCCUCCUGGGAGCCCCCAAAUCACGUCCAGGAUGCAGAUACACAGAAGGCAACUUGGCACCCUUUGGGACUGCUGAAGACCCAGCCUUCUUGCUGGAGAAAGUCUUGGUCGCGACACUGCGAGCCACACAGGUAAGAUUGUUCAUUGCCACACUGUAAAGUGCAAAAUUGGAAACAACCGAAUGUCCACACAGGAGACUAAAUGGAGAAGUGGAGGUGAGUUCGUGCAGUGGGUAUGGAGCCUCUGCCUUCACAGUGGACAGGGCUGCCAGCUUCAACACCGACUGACUCUCAAACCCACGUUAAGAGGAAAUGUGGAAGAAUAUGUGUGGGGUGAUGAAAUAGGGCAGCACAGAGCUGCACGAGCUCAGGGAUGCAAGCUUCUGUGUGAAGCGCCCAGAACUCCAGGAGUCAGAGGGUGCAACCAGGACGCAGGAUGCUGGGUCCUCUGAAGGGUAGGGGUGGGGGGAGACCUGGGCUCCAGAGACUACCGAAGGGCUUGGCUUCUGUCUGUAAUGCUUUACCUCUUUCAAAAAAAUUUUGAAGCAUGUACAGAAAACCAUCAGAGGUUCAUAGAGCUUGGUGGAGGGUCUGCAGAUGUUUGUUUUAUUCUCUGUGCUUUAUGCUCAAAACGUUUCAUAAUUUUUAAAAGUAUGUUUUUAAAGAACAGGUAGGUGUUCUGUCUCUUGACCUGACUGCCGGUUACCCAGGUGUCCCUUUCUAGUGAUUUGUUACACUGUACAUUUGUGCUAUGUGCUUUUCUUUACGGAGGUGACAUUUCACAGUUUUUUAGAAAUUAAAAAGAAUGAGUAGGCAACAGGGUGGGGUCGCGGAAGCGGUCCCAGGCAGAGGAACUGGCAGAGCCAAGGCCUGGGCGCCGGGCAGGGCCCUGGAGUCCCGCCCUAAGGAUGCGUGGUCCCCUGAGCACAGCCCUGCUCCCAGCCCCCACCCGUGGGUGGUCGGGCUCUCUGCACUGGGGGGCCAGGCUGGCAGAAAGUGAGCGCUCAGGCAGGGGCGCCAGCUGGAGUGAGAGGACAGGCUUGACGAAAGGUUUAAUCCCCGCCUGGUGUGUUAAGAGGUGGGCGUGCGGCCCGCAGGUGUGGGUUAUCAUGACCUUGGCAUUACUUGUUGGAGGCUGCGGGCGGGCUGCAGCUGAGCUAGUGCGGGAGCUCGUGGCGGGGGCGUGGCGGCCCGGCGGAGCUGCGGAGAGAGUGAUGCGGACCGCUGGGCCCGCGAGGUUCCGCUGACUGCAGCCUGCACCAGCUCGGUAAGAUUUUCUGGGGCUUUGGGAAGGUUGGGGGAGACGCAGCACGGGCAAGUGUGGUGGGAUAGUUGCGCUUUCCCAAGGGAAGCAGAAAACAAGCUUCAAGGGUUGUUUUUUUUAAACUCUCCGGCGUUCUUUCUGCAUCAGAGAUGGGAAGUCAGGGUCCGUGGGGCUGGCGUUCGCUGUGAGGUGCUCGGCCUGCGCAGGGAUGGAGAGGCACUGACAUCAGGCGAAAUGUGGGUGAUUUAUCUGACAAGUAAUCUUAUUAAGAAAGCUCGUAAAGGGACUUCCCUGGUGGUCCAAUGGGUGAGACUCCGUGCUUCCACUGCAGGGGGCCCGGUUGGAUCCCUGCUUGGGGAGCUAAGAUCCCACAAGC